GCCCUGGGGGCAAAAUGGCUAAGCAUUCGGCUGCUAACUGAAAGGUUGGUGGUUCAAACCUACCCGUGGCU
rnacentral:tRNA from 1 species